rnacentral:rRNA from 1 species
CCCGGCACAAGCGGUGGAGCAUGUGGUUUAAUUCGACGCAACGCGAAGAACCUUACCAGGGCUUGACAUCCCCUGACCGCGUAUGAAGACGUUUUCACUUCGGGAGACAGGGAGACAGGUGGUGCAUGGUUGUCGUCAGCUCGUGUCGUGAGAUGUUGGGUUAAGUCCCGCAACGAGCGCAACCCCUAUCUUUAAUUGCCAUCAUUCAGUUGGGCACUUUAGAGAGACUGCCGGUGUUAAGCCGGAGGAAGGUGGGGAUGACGUCAAGUCCUCAUGGCCUUUAUGUCUAGGGCUACACACGUGCUACAAUGGGUGGUACAAAGAGCAGCUAACUCGCGAGAGUAUGCAAAUCUCAAAAAGCCAUCCUCAGUUCGGAUUGGAGUCUGCAACUCGACUCCAUGAAGUUGGAAUCGCUAGUAAUCGCGGAUCAGCAUGCCGCGGUCGAAUACGUUCCCGGGCCUU